AUAUUUGAAAUUCAAAAUGAUAAAUCAAAGAAGCAGUGAAAAUUUGUGAGGAACUACAUCCUUCAUUUAUACAACAUCGAGCUAAAAAUGAAAUGAGCUAGGGAUUAUUUUGAAAUUAAAUGUGCAAGCAGUAAUAAACAAGAGGCUCAGAGGGCCUGAAUUGCUCACCUGAUUUCAUGAGAUAUGAAACAAGAAUGAUGCAUAAGUGUAUGUGUCGCCUGUCUUGCUAUGUCAAUAUAUACAUAAUAAGCAUUCUAUAUGUGUACAUGUACAUUGAUUUUGUUGUUAUUCUAAAAAUGUGAGGUUUUUAUGCCAAAAACUACAAUAAUCCAGGAAAUGAAGUUGACCCCUUUACACCCAGUCAACCAUCUGUAUAAUUUUGAAUCCCCACCCCAUAGGAAUGCUACCAGUCAAAUAUGAGGAAUAUCCAUUUCUUAAUUUAAAAGAAGUCAUUAAUAUCAAUAUAGCCAAACUGACCCCUUUUGGCCUUGCUUCUCAGGCCCGCGGGGAGUCAGCUACACCAUCUGAACAAUUUUGAAUACCCAUCCCAUAAUGAUGCUAACAGAAAUACAUGAGUGAUAUCCAUUUCUUAGUUUCAAAGAAGACAUUAUUUAUAUCAAUUCAGCCAAUUGAUCCCCUUUUGGCCCUGCCCCUCAGGCCCCUGGUGGACCAGCCCCACCAUUUGUACAAUUUUGAAUGUCAAACACCUAGAGAUUUUCCUCUUAAAAGUUGUUUAAUUCCGAUUAGCUGUUAUGAAGAAGUCAAUUAUCGACAGAUGGGUGGAUGGACGAAGGACGCUGAACGCCACAGUAUGGCAUAAGCUCACCUUGGUUCUUCGGCCCAGAUAAGCAUAUUAAAUUCGCUAGGGGUAAUCAUCAAA